GGGUAGCCUGAAUGGUUAGAGCGUGGCGCUGAUAACACCAAGGUUGCAGGUUCAAUUCCCGUUUGGGACA